GAUGAACGCUGGCGGCGUGCCUAACACAUGCAAGUCGAGCGAAGCGGGGACGGGGGAGUGACACGUGGAUAAACUCCUAGAAGACGGGGAUAACCUCGUGAAAACGGAACUUAUCCGGAUACUUAUACAUGAAUGCACGGUGCAUUAGGUAGUUUGUAAGGUAACGGCUUACCAAGGCAACGACUCAUAGCCGACCUGAGAGGGUGAUCGGCCACACUGGAACUGAGACACGGUCCAGACUCCUACGGGAGGCAGCAGUAGGGAAUCUUCCGCAAUGGGCGAAAGCCUGACGGAGCAACGCCGCGUGAGUGAUGAAGGUCUUCGGAUCGUAAAGCUCUGUUAUUAGGGAGGCGGUACCUAAUCAGAAAGCCACGGCUAACUACGUGCCAGCAGCCGCGGUAAUUC
rnacentral:rRNA from 1 species